CAUUGUCAAAGUAUAUAUAUCGGAAAAAAAAGAAGAAAAAAAAUGUAUAUUUAUAUAUAAAAUAUAUAUAUAUAUAUUGUAUAUAAAUAAAUGGUGGGACCAACAGCAAUAAUAACAGUUGUAGUGGACAUGCGAUUACCAUUAACAACAACAACAAUAUUAAUGAGAACAACAAUACAUUAAAGCAAUGGUAGUGGACCAGUGUCAACAUGACUGAGAAGACACAUGACGUUGUAUGAAAGACAAAACAAAACAAGAUGGGAAAUAUUAUCAACAUUACUUUGCACUUUUCACUGGUUGUCCCUUAGGUUGUGGCAGGAGGACACAUAUUUGGCUGCCAAAACUGCACAUUUGGGCUUUUCGCCCAAUAAAUAUUGGAUUUUUUCUUAAUCUUUUAUAGUUUCAAAUUCUUUGUAUUGAAUUAUAAUUUGGGGAAAUAAAUAUUCUCUUAGGUCUGAGUAUUUGUCACAGUGUAAUAGGAAAUGCAGCUCGGUCUCUACCUCUCCCCUGGAGCAGAGUGAGCACAGCCUGUCCUCUCUGGGCAGCCAGGUUUGUCUGUGACAACCGGUCUCUAUACCCAGACUGUGCUCACUGAGUCUGUACCUAGUCAAUGUUUUCCUCCGUUUUCUAUCAGUCACUGUGGUCAGAUAGUCUGCCUCCCGUACUGUCUGUUUAGAGCCAAAUAGCAUUGAAGUUUACUUUGAUUUUUUUGUGGUGUCUUUCCAAUAGGUGAUGACAUAUUUUUAUUUUAGUUUUGUGAUGAUUUGGUUGGGCCAGAUUUUCUGAGUGCAGUCCUGAGGCUCUAUGGGGUUGGUUUGGGUUGGUGAACUGAGCCUCAGAACCAGCUGGCUGAGGGGACUCUUCUCUUUUUUCAUCUCUUGGCAUUGUAGAGCUGUGUGAUGGAAUGUUUUUAGGUGGUUGUAAAAUUUGAUGGCUCUUUUUUCUAUUCGAAUGAGGGGGUAUUGGCCCAAUUCUGCUCUUUGUGCGUUAUUUGGAGUUUUUCUUUGCACUUGCAAUACAGUCUUGCAAAACUCUGCAUGCGGUAUUUCGAUUGGAUAUUUGUCCCAUUUGGUAAAUUCAUUAUUAGAGAUUGGACCCCAUACCUCACUGCCGUAGAGCAAUUGGUUCUAUAACUGAUUGAAAAAGUUUGAGCCAGAUUCUAAUUGGAAUUUCUAUUUUGAUGUUCCUUUUAAAUGCAUAUAAUGCUCUUCUUGCUUUGUCUCUCAGCUCAUUCACCGCCAUGUGAAAGCUACCUGUGUUUCUGAUAUUUAGUCCUAGAUAUGUGUAGCUUUUGGUGUGUUCUAAUAGAACUGAGUCCAAAUAGAAUUUAUAUUUGUCAUCCUUAUUUCCAGACCUUUUUAGGAAUAUCAUUAUAUUUGUUUGUUUUUUAGGUUUAACGGUCAGAGUCCAGGUCUGACAGAACCUGUGAAGAUGAUCUAGGUGCUGCUGUAACCCCUCUUUAGUGGGAGACAGCAGCACCAGGUCAUCUGCGUAUAGCAGACUGUCAGGAUUUGGCAAGGAUUGUUCCGGUUUUGGCCACUAGAUGCCCCCAUUGUGCUUUUUUGACCUUUUUGUUUUCCCCUGUUUCCAGAUUAUUAUUUGCACCUGUGCCUCGUUUCCCUCCCUUUCCCGAGUUCGUAACCGGGUCCUGACAGCAGACACUUGAUUUUAGUGUUGUGUAGGGUGAUACCAGGUGCUGCCGAUUUCUUCUAAUGUUUUUGCCCCAAUUCAUUAAUGUAGAUGUUAAAUAGUGUUGGACUUAUUGGGCAGCCCUGUUUCACUCCCCGUCCCUGGGAAAAGAAGUCGGUUUGCUUGUUGCCAAUUUUAACCGCACAUUUGUUUUUAGUGUACAUUGAUUUAAUAAAAUUGUUUUCCCUCCAAUACCACUUUCUAUUAGUUUAUAAAAAAGACCUUUGUGCCAAAUUGAAUCAAAUGCUUUCUUGAAAUCUACAAAACAUGAGUAGAUUUUGCCUUUGUUUUGGUUUGCUUGUUUAUCUAUUAGAGUGUGGAGGGUGUAAAUGUGGUCUUUUGUACGAUUUUUAUUUUUUUAGAAAUCCAAUCUGGCUUCUGCUCAGGACGUUGUGUUCGUCAAGGAAAUUAUGUAGUCUGCUAUUUAGAAUUUUCCCCAAGUUGCUGUUAAUUCAAAUUCCUCUGUAAUUAUUUGGGUCAAAUUUGUCUCCAUUUUUAUAGAUUGGUGUGAUCAAUCCCUGGUUCCAAAUAUCGGGGAAAAUACCUGCAGUGAGGAUAAUGUUGAAGAGUUUGAGUAUAGCCAAUUUGAAUUUGUGGUCUGUAUAUUUGAUCAUUUCAUUUAAAAUACCAUCAGCACCACAGGCCUUUUUGGGUUGUAGAGUGCAUAGUUUUCCCAAUAAUUAUUCUUCUGUAAUUGGGGUAUCCACAGGAUUCUGAUAGUCUUUGACUGCUGAUUCAAGGAUUUGUAAUUUUUCUUGUAUAUCUUUUUGUUCUGGGCUUUGUUAUAUUGCUGUAGAGGUUUGCAAAGUGAUUUCUCCACAUAUCCCCAUUUUGGAUAGCCAAUUCCUCAUGAGGUUUGUUUAAUUUAUUCAAAUUCUCCCAGAAGUGAUUUGAUUCUAUGGAUUCCUCAAUUCCAUCCAUCUGAUUUCUAAUGUGCUGUUCCAUUUUUGUUCUCAGGGUGUGUUUGUUUUGCUUCAGUGUUUCCCCAUAUUGAAGGCAUAUAUUUUUGUUGUCUGGUUCUCUGUGUUUUUGAUUAGAUAUCUCAAUGACUUUCUUAUAUUUUUGAAAUCAUUAUCAAACCAUUUUUCAUUAUCUGUUAUUUCUGGUUUGCUCUUAUGCUUCUUUAAAUUAGCCAAGGAGGCUAAUUUGUCAAAUAUAUAGUUUAUGUUCUAAACAGCCAAAUGUACACCUUCAUUGCUGUAGGAGAAUGUUAAGGCUAAAAAGUUGUGCAGGAGAGAUUGUAUUUUUUGGCUACUAAUUGCUUUUUGGUAGAUGUCUGUACUGUAAUUUAUUGGGCUGUGAUGCUUCAUGGUUGGGUUCUGCUCUUCUUAGAUACAUUGUGAUUUUACUGUGGUCUGAGAGAGGUGUUAGUGGGCUGACUGUGAAGGCUCUGCGAGACUCUGGGUUUAGGUCGAUGAGGAAGUAGUCUGUUUGAUUCCUUUUAAUGUAGUGGAUGGUAUGAUUAUCUCCCUAUAACAUAGUGGACAGCCAGUGGAAACAUCACCUCUGCACCAUGUUUCCUGUAGUACUACAAUGUCAACAUCAUCAAUUUCUUUCAGGAAGUCUGGGUUUCUGCUCUUUAGUCCAAAAGCAGAGGACUUCAACCCUUGUAAAUUCCAACAUGCAAACGUAAAAAGAUUUCAUAACUUUUUAUUUUUCUUUACCUUCAAAAAUGAGACAAACACUCACAAUCCAACAAGAACUAUUAAAAUAAGAUUUUUCAAUUAAAGUUAACUCUUAUUAUGCAAAUGUGAUUUGUUUAUCAUUUAAGAUAGAAUUUGUGUCAUGCCACUUGGGUGGGUGUAGUGUGAGGAUGGUGGAGUUCUUGUGCUCAUCUUACCAUGACCCUCGGCCUAUCACAUGUGAGCAUAGUAGACUCAGCAUUUGUUUAAAUGUCACUAAUUUGGUUGGUGGGGGCUGGGCCAGUUGCUCCUCUCACAGCCUGUGCCUGCUGGGCUGUGGCUCCUCCAAGUGUGGGUCUGCGGUGGGGGGUAGGGGGGUGGGAGGCCUCGUCUGGGUGGCUCUGAAACUGGGCUGGGGUGGUCUGUGCUGCGCUGGAUGUGGUAGGCAUUGAGGUUGGUGGUGCUGUGGUCGUGGCUGGGAGUUCCAGGGUGCUGGUCCAGGGUAUUGUCCCGGUGAUCUUUUUCGGGGUGGAGAUUGUUCUGCUGUUCCUGGGUGGAGAGGUCGGACUGCGGUUUAAAGCGACGUCCUUGAGAGUCUUGGCAAGGAUGGGGACUGUCUCCCUGUACAGGUGAACAUGGUCAUAGAGACAGUCCAGAUCGAUGGUGGGCCAGGUGUACAUUGGGUCGCAGGGCACAGUCCCUAUCUUUCUGUAGUCUCUCCAGAUGGAUCAACACCCUCGCUAUCUUUCUGUAGUCUCUCCAGAUGGAUCAACACCCUCCCUAUCUUUCUGUAGUCUCCCACUCCCUUCUGACCCGACUCAUCCUCUUGAUCAUCCCCCAUACAUCUCCCACAGGUGUCGCCCUUCCAAUGGUGUUACAGAACCAACAUGACCUAUUCGCCUGACGGAUAGUUCUCCUCACCAGGGCCUGCUGAUACUGAAUCAGACUGAGGGAUAGUUCUCCUCACCAGGGCCUGCUGAUACUGAAUCAGACUGAGGGAUAGUUCUCCUCACCAGGGCCUGGGUCUGCUGAUACUGAAUCAGACUGAGGGAUAGUUCUCCUCACCAGGGCCUGCUGAUACUGAAUCAGACUGAGGGAUAGUUCUCCUCACCAGGGCCUGCUGAUACUGAAUCAGACUGAGGGAUAGUUCUCCUCACCAGGGCCUGCUGAUACUGAAUCAGAUGUUGGAAGUUAUACGUCCUUUUCAGUACUCUAAAUGUCUUGUUUCUAUUCCUCACAACUGCCCCACACUCCUUCGUCCACCACGGGACUGCUUUCCUCCUCCUCCCUGAACUCUUAGGUAUCGCCUCAGUAGCUGCCCCCACUAACGCUGUUCUCACCCAGUUAUUCAUACUGUCCACAUCCCCUCUCAUAUCCACCCGAGCCAUCACCUGCUCACUCAGCUCCUGAAACUGAUCCCACUUUGCCCUUCCAAACACCCACCUGCCUACUCCAUCUACUGGAACCUCCUCCCUCCGACCUACUGUGCAUAGUAGUGAUCACUCCCUACUCCUCCCUUACCUCCCACUCACAGAUUCCUGCCAUCACACUAGAUACCAGAGUGAGGUCCAAGGCAGACUCUCUCCCUGUGGCCCUCCACCCUCUCCAGCACUUCCAGGUCUAAUAUCUGACACGCAUUAUAGUAGUUUACUAGCACCCCUCCUCUACUACAUAUUCCUGUUCAAUACCUCUGCCUAGCAUCCUAUAAGAAAGUCCUUGCUUUAUGAAAGUGGCACCCCCCAUCCCUGUCCCUCGUCCCUACGAGCCAUGUUUCCUGCACACAAAUCACAUCAGGCUAAGGAGCCUUAUUGCUAUUAUAAACUGGUUACCAAUGUAAUCAGAGCAGUAAAACUAAAUGUUUUGUCAGACCAGUGGUAUACAGUCUGAUAUACUAUGGCCUUCAGCCAAUCAGAAUUCAGGGCUCAAACCACCCAGUUUAUAUUAACUCAUGUAUCCUAUGGUUACUUUAUUUGGCAGUACCCGGUCCUUGAAGUGUAACAGAAUAAACGGGCCAUCUACCCUAACUCCACCCCUUGUUUCUUGCUAUAUUUGAUCAUUUACUAGAAUAACUAAUCUCAAGUUGUCCCUUACCUCUUUAGUGCCAACACUCACAGGCACUCCUGUUAUCACCCCUUUAACCCACAGUUUUCCUGCAUGAUCAGUCCAGCUACUCGACACCACCUUACACUUCCCUAUUUGCUUCACUCAAGAGCUUUUUCCCCUCUGCGCAUUGUCCUUACAGAACACCAACAAGCUCCCAUCUAGUAACACUUUAGCGUUGACAAUUUCCCCAAUCAACUACUUUAUCACAGCGGUCAACCUUAUCGGACUCGUCGCCCCAACUCCCCCUUCCUCCCUUAAAGUUCAUAAUCACUUUAUGCUCCUCCUCACCUCGCGAUGCAUCUUGCCCUUCCUCUGCACUCUCGACCCCCGAACUGCCGCUGGAAACUGUUGCUCUCUUCAAACGUCCUUUGCUGCCUCCAUACCUCUCUCUCCCCUUCAAACCCCUACUCACAUUCUCUCCCCCUUUAUUUGUACCACCAUGCCCCACACUUUGUUCUCCAUCGCCUAACAUCCCCGACCCAGUCACAGCGCAGCCGUGCCGAAGCGAGUCACGUUGUUUAUCAGCGACGGAUCGCUAGCCACCGCUUUCAGCCUCUCCCUCACCUCUGUUACACCAUGCCACGGGCUCCCCGGAAAUGUACGCUGAAAAACCCCACAUACAUCUCAUAAAGUUAAUGCACAUCUUUUUAAAUUGAUGAUAUAUUCAGAUCGAAUUGUUCUCAGGAAAUGUCCUUCCCUACUAUGGGUCAUAUUAGUGGGCUAUCACGGUGUAAAAGCACCUUUUAAAAUCCAUUGCAUUAGCUUUAUAAAUCACAGUAAAAAAUAACGCGAAUACGUACCUUUGGCGAAGGGAAAGGACGCCAGAUCUUCUAGUUUUAGUUACUGCACAAUAAAAAUGGUCUUUACCGCCGCCAACGUAAACGGGGUGUAAUAACAGUUGUGGUUGACGCUGCUCGGAAAUGAUGACAUAAAACGAUGAUUGGAACCUUCUGACCAACGAGUCGCACCGCCCCACUGUCUGAUUCACAUCGCGUGAUUUAUGAUGUCCAUUAUAUCGACUGAUUGGUUCU
ensembl:lncRNA